AAGAAACCUAGUUGGUCUUUGCAUAAAACUAGAGCCCUUUGCAUCGCAACGCUGCAUCAUUGCAGUACUUUCUUAUUCUUUGAAUAACUAUCUGGCAUCAGCAGCAUUUACUAUUUUGGCCUAAUUAACAUCAUUAAAUUCAUUGUCAUGAUGAUUUGGCAAGUAGGAUCCGUUGCGUUAAAACAUGUAAAUCAGUUUAAUUUUGCCAACAAAAAACAAAAGCUCAACAAAAACAUAUAUUGAUACGAAAAGUGCAUUACUUCGCACGCCAGUGUCGUUUCUUCCUAAGCUCUACCAUUGGAUAUGACGUAUCCAUGAACCGAACUGUAAAUAGUAGAACCUAGGGUCAUUUGAUUGAUUUCAUUUAGAAAAAAUCAUUUCCUUACCAUUCAUAUCUUUUCCCUGUAGUCGUAAACCAAAAUAUCAACAUUUAAAGAUAAUUUAGGCUUUACCGUACGUCAAAAGAGCAGAUAGAAAUAACCGACGACUGUAUCGGACCUACGAAUAUACACAUAAGUACAGUGUUGUUCGCAUCGCAUCUAAAAGCCAGCUUACAGUUUGUGUUCAAUCAUGUAUGCAAGAGAUUCAUAGAACAGCCGUCAAUGACAAGAUGAAAGCAAGGAGAACGUUCUUUAUGGAUCGCAAUUCGUUUCGGGCGGAGUUAUAGCCUGCGCGCGAAAGAAUAGAGGGUGUUAACCGCUCACCAGUGGUUUAGUUAAUGGUUAGAACGAACGAUGAAAGCAACAAUAAGAAAAGCCAUCGCUGCCGUGUAAAAGAGUAUCCGUUGAGGAUCGAAUGAAUGACGAGAAGAAUGAGGAGCGUCAAUGCCCAAAUGUAUGCAACGACGAAUCAAAUAUGUGUCAGUAAGAUCUCAUUAUUAAUGUUUUUUUCUCUUCUUUUACUUUUAAAACGCCUUCCACAGCGCAAAGGCGUAAUAGACUAAUUUUACCCGGCACACAAUAGAUCUUGUGUAACCCAAUUAAUUUAAGUCUUAUGCUUUCUGUGUAGAAAAUUAUUUUAGGUGCAAAAGGUUUUAGAAAGUUUUAAAUGCAACACGUGCAUUUCACUACCAGACAGUGAGUUUGAAAGGGAACUGCAGACAAUGACAAAUCUGUUUUCUGGUGAAAAUGCGUUGGUUUGGUGUGCUCAUUGGAAGAUAGGCGCAAAAGUUGGCUAGAGAAGAACACUUGGAAUGUAGUACGUGCAGACGCAUCGUUUCGAAACAAUAAAAACAAAUUCAAUUUUGCCAAAAAAUAUAAGAUACCAGCAGCCAGCAGAAAAUAACCUUUCAACUAAAGGCGCCUGAACAGUUUGAAUCGUUAGAACCCAUAGAAUUCUAAAGCAUUAGCAACAGCUGGCUACGUAAGCAGAUGGCUGCGUAUGUAUUUGAACAAUUUUGAGCAAUUGUAGCUAUGAUUAGCUUUAAUGGCUAGAAAUGUGUGUCGGCUCCCUUACCAAGAGUUUUUCGUUUCCUACAGUGUACUGAAUCAUUUCGGACUUUUCUUUUUAGUAAAUUUUUCGUAACAUUACUUAUAUUGCAUCCAUUCACCGCGCCAGCCAACCAACGGCCAUUCCAUCGGCAUGUUUCCAACUGGCUCCGCCGAGGUGUAACAAAAAGAUGUUACUGAGUAGCUUUAGUUAGAGAAGAGAACAGUGUAAGAACUGAACAGAACUGAAACGAACCACAUAUGAAGUUGUCCCCUGAUGAGGAAAUUACGUCUCGAUCCAAUAACACUAUGUGUUCUUCUGUUUAGUUUUUGGUAAGCUUCGCCACGAGUGUUAUAAGGCUGAGAAUGACAGUGUCGCGUGUUUUAAAUCAAACAAUAAGAGUUUAUUAAAAUGACUCUUGAUCGCCGGCAGCUCUCUCUCUCUCUCUUUUUCUGGCUCUCGUUGGGGAACUUUUCAAUGUCAGCGACACAAGGCGAAGGAUUGAGCACCCGCGAAACAGGUGUCCUGAGCGUCUUUUCCGCUCAGAUAGGAGCAUCCCUUGGCAAAGACAAAUACCCCGACACUGCAGGCGAAAAGUUUAAGCACUGAUUUAAAUGUAAAAGGCAAUGUGUGAAAGAAGGAAACUCGCACUCUUGCAUGCGAUAACUUAGUGGUUAAGGACUGUGUAUAUUUGAUAAGAAAACGGAUGUAGUAGGUGUAGUAGUCGCAGGUAGAAGGAGAAAUUCUAUGAAGGUGGUAACGAGGAGAGAGAGAACGCAAGACACAUACACAAAUAGAAAAACAAGAAACACA